AGCACGGAGCCACACCAUUAUUGUAUGCUGUUUACGAUGGGCACCUAGAUAUAGUCCGUUAUCUUGUAGAAGUCGGCUGUGAAAAAGAAGGAAGUGACAAGGUGAUUAUAGAUAUUGGCUCCUCAUUCUGAUCAUAUUUCUGUUGAUAUUGAAUCAUUAAAAAAUCAGGUUGUUAUUCAGACAGGUUUAAUGGACAACACAUACUUGUUAGAAUUAAAAUAAAUGGUUAUCAUUUGUU
rnacentral:lncRNA from 1 species